GUACACUCCUACGGGAGGCAGCAGUGGGGAAUAUUGGACAAUGGGCGCAAGCCUGAUCCAGCCAUGCCGCGUGAGUGAUGAAGGCCCUAGGGUUGUAAAGCUCUUUCACCGGUGAAGAUAAUGACGGUAACCGGAGAAGAAGCCCCGGCUAACUUCGUGCCAGCAGCCGCGGUAAUACGAAGGGGGCUAGCGUUGUUCGGAUUUACUGGGCGUAAAGCGCACGUAGGCGGACUAUUAAGUCAGGGGUGAAAUCCCGGGGCUCAACCCCGGAACUGCCUUUGAUACUGGUAGUCUUGAGUUCGAGAGAGGUGAGUGGAAUUCCGAGUGUAGAGGUGAAAUUCGUAGAUAUUCGGAGGAACACCAGUGGCGAAGGCGGCUCACUGGCUCGAUACUGACGCUGAGGUGCGAAAGCGUGGGGAGCAAACAGGAUUAGAUACCCGGGUAGUCCCA
rnacentral:rRNA from 1 species